UAAUACAUGCAAGUCGAACGAGCUUCCGUUGAAUGACGUGCUUGCACUGAUUUCAACAUUGAAGCGAGUGGCGAACUGGUGAGUAACACGUGGGUAACUUGCCCAGAAGCAGGGGAUAACACUUGGAAACAGGUGCUAAUACCGUAUAACAACAGAAACCGCAUGGUUUCUGUUUGAAAGGUGGUUUCGGCUAUCACUUCUGGAUGGACCCGCGGCGUAUUAGUUAGUUGGUGAGGUAAAGGCCCACCAAGACAAUGAUACGUAGCCGACCUGAGAGGGUAAUCGGCCACAUUGGGACUGAGACACGGCCCAAACUCCUACGGGAGGCAGCAGUAGGGAAUCUUCCACAAUGGACGAAAGUCUGAUGGAGCAAUGCCGCGUGAGUGAAGAAGGGUUUCGGCUCGUAAAACUCUGUUGUUAAAGAAGAACACUUCUGAGAGUAACUGUUCAGAAGUUGACGGUAUUUAACCAGAAAGCCACGGCUAACUACGUGCCAGCAGCCGCGGUAAUACGUAGGUGGCAAGCGUUGUCCGGAUUUAUUGGGCGUAAAGCGAGCGCAGGCGGUUUCUUAAGUCUGAUGUGAAAGCCUUCGGCUUAACCGGAGAAGUGCAUCGGAAACUGGGAGACUUGAGUGCAGAAGAGGACAGUGGAACUCCAUGUGUAGCGGUGGAAUGCGUAGAUAUAUGGAAGAACACCAGUGGCGAAGGCGGCUGUCUAGUCUGUAACUGACGCUGAGGCUCGAAAGCA
rnacentral:rRNA from 1 species